GGGUACGAGCCAUACUUAGGCCGAACGCACCACAUCCCGUCCAGUCUCUGUGAAGUUAACGCGCACAGGCCUCGUUAGUACGGCGAUGCGUGAUGGCGCUGGAACCCGGGGUGUCGUACUCU
rfam:Trypanosoma rangeli strain H8GS 5S ribosomal RNA gene, complete sequence.